rnacentral:pre_miRNA from 10 species
UGGCUGAACCAGCCGCAGUGUGUCUGCCUGUCUUCACUUGCUGUGCAGUAAUUGGUUCAGCCUGUACAGCAGGCACAGACAGGCAGACAGACGUCAGCC